CAGCAGCCGCGGUAAUACGAGGGGUGCUAGCGUUAUUCGGAUUGAUUGGGUGUAGAGGGUGUGCAGACGGCUUAUUAAGUCACUUGUUAAAUUCUUCGGCCUAACUGAAGGUCUGCAAGUGAUACUGAUGAGCUAGAGGGUGGAAGAGAGAAGUGGAAUUCUCGGAGUAGCGGUAAAAUGCGUAGAUCUCGAGAGGAACACCAAUGGCGAAGGCAGCUUCUUGGUCCAUUCCUGACGUUCAUACACGAAAGCGUGGGGAGCAAACAGGAUUAGAUACCCCCGUAGUCCCUGUCUCUUAUAA
rnacentral:rRNA from 1 species